rnacentral:rRNA from 1 species
GCCAGACUCCUACGGGAGGCAGCAGUGAGGAAUAUUGGUCAAUGGGCGGGAGCCUGAACCAGCCAAGUCGCGUGAGGGAAGACGGUCCUAUGGAUUGUAAACCUCUUUUGUCGGGGAGCAAAGAGGUCAUGUGUGGUCAAAAGCGAGAGUACCCGAAGAAAAAGCAUCGGCUAACUACGUGCCAGCAGCCGCGGUAAUACGUAGGGAGCGAGCGUUGUCCGGAAUUACUGGGUGUAAAGGGAGCGUAGGCGGGCUUGUAAGUUGAAUGUCUAAUCCACCGGCUCAACCGGUGAUCGCGUUCAAAACUGCAGGUCUUGAGUGAAGUAGAGGCAGGCGGAAUUCCUAGUGUAGCGGUGAAAUGCGUAGAUAUUAGGAGGAACACCAGUGGCGAAGGCGGCCUGCUGGGCUUUAACUGACGCUGAGGCUCGAAAGCGUGGGGAGCAAACAGGAUUAGAUCCCCGCGUA